GACGCAUGCUGGCGGCGUGCUUAACACAUGCAAGUCGAACGAAGUGGCGAACGGGUGCGUAAUACGUGGGUAACCUGCCCUCCUUUUUGGGAUAAGCCUUGGAAACGGGGUCUAAUACCGAAUAAAGGGGGAUGGGCUCGCGGCCUAUCCGCUUGUUGGUGGGGUGAUGGCCUACCACGGCGGUGACGGGUAGCCGGCCUGAGAGGGGGAACGGCAGCAUGGGGGCUGAGAUACGGCCCAGAGUCCUGGGGGAGGCAGCAGGGGGGGAGAGUGCACAAGGGGCGAAAGCCUGAUGCAGCGACGCCGCGUGGGGGAUUAAGGCUUUCGGGUUGUAAACCGCUUUCGCUAGCGAACGGGUAGGUGGAGAAGAAGAGCCGGCUAACGACGGGCCAGCAGCCGCGGUAAUAC
rnacentral:rRNA from 1 species